rnacentral:rRNA from 1 species
CACUCCUGCGGGAGGCAGCAGUGAGGAAUAUUGGACAAUGGGUGGAAGCCUGAUCCAGCCAUCCCGCGUGCAGUAAGACGGCCCUAUGGGUUGUAAACUGCUUUUAUCUGGGGAUAAACCUACUUACGUGUAAGUAGCUGAAGGUACCAGAAGAAUAAGCACCGGCUAACUCCGUGCCAGCAGCCGCGGUAAUACGGAGGGUGCAAGCGUUAUCCGGAUUUAUUGGGUUUAAAGGGUCCGUAGGCGGACUGAUAAGUCAGUGGUGAAAUCCGACAGCUUAACUGUCGAACUGCCAUUGAUACUGUUAGUGUUGAGUAAGGUUGAAGUGGCUGGAAUAAGUAGUGUAGCGGUGAAAUGCAUAGAUAUUACUUAGAAGACCAAUUGCGAAGGCAGGUCACUAAGUCUUAACUGACGCUGAUGGACGAAAGCGUGGGGAGCGAACAGGAUUAGAAACCCUUGUAGUCCCAUG